rnacentral:rRNA from 1 species
UACGUAGGGCGCAAGCGUUGUCCGGAAUUAUUGGGCGUAAAGAGCUUGUAGGCGGUUUGUCGCGUCUGCUGUGAAAUUUCGGGGCUCAACCCCGAACUUGCAGUGGGUACGGGCAGACUAGAGUGUGGUAGGGGAGACUGGAAUUCCUGGUGUAGCGGUGAAAUGCGCAGAUAUCAGGAGGAACACCGAUGGCGAAGACAGGUCUCUGGGCCAUAACUGACGCUGAGAAGCGAAAGCAUGGGGAGCGAACAGG